CGCCGGGAACGGCGACCCCCGAUGCGCGCAGCUGCAGGGUUUCCCGGCGCACAGGGACUCGGAUCUUGGAGACACUGGAUCGAGUUCGCUCACGAACAGGCCUGCCCCUUUAAUUUCUCUCUGUUUACACGCGCUGCAAAUAUUCAGUUACAGUGUACGCGGUGGAGGAUCUGCCCAUGAGUGUCCACACAGUAUUUGCUACUAGUUACUUUUUGAUUGAUUAGAGUUGUUCCUAUCGCUCCAAUACUACUAGUCCCUGACGAAGGACAAAUUUAUUUGUAUACAUGUGUAAUGCAAACUGAGAUCUGCCCGUGAGUGUUGCUUGUCAGGUGUGAUUGACUACUAGAUUCCUGUCAACUAAUAAA